CCGAAAAGGCCUAGUUGCGCCGCUGUACAUCGCGUUUUGUAUCCGUCAUAGAUAACAUUCUUUGGCCCACCCUCCCCUCCUAUAUAUUUUGAAUUGUACAUGAACGUGAUUCCUAAUAUUUUAUUACAUAAAAGUAAUAUUAUUUUUACUGUUUCCCAAAUUGAUUCAAGUUAACCCCAGAUAACUAAUAUUUAUUGUUUUCAUAAAAAUAAAGAUGGUUUAAGAAGAAUGUGAUGAACUGUGGGGUGGAGGUCAUUUAUCUCCCUCCACUUUGGGCGGAGGAGGUUGGUCAAGAGAAUUCCAGGACACAGGUGGUCGGGCAAGAGACGUGAAGGUCACAAGGGGUCGGGCAAGAGAAAUCGUAAACAUGAAAAUGCGAUUGAUGUCAGCUUUUUUAUUCUUUUUUCUCUUUGUUAUUGUCAGUGGAAGUAUAUCCUAUAUCUACUUGAUCUGGACAAACUAUUGGUUAAGAAUAUCCUCCCUGGAAAUGACGAAUAGAAUGAACAAACCUCGCCACGUGUUGGACCGUGUAAACCAUGAAAAAAGCCACCGCAAACCGAGAUAUGAUUCCCCUCGCCAGCUUCCGGUCGGAAACCAGCCUGCACCUAGACCCAGGCCUAAAUAUAAAUCAAAGGAGGAGAAGAUAUUACCGGGCAGGAAGCUCUCUGUGUCCGAGUUGCCCAAGGACAAGCUGUACGCACACAUCAAGGUCUACAAGGAGCAGAUCUACGCACAAUUGCGUAACACGGUGCUGGACGCCGGCAAGCAAGUCCAGUCUGAAUCCUUUCCCAACGCGUACAAUGUAACGUACAGUGGUCGCUACGGAGAAAAUGAUAUAAAACUAUCCCCGCGUGAAAUACUGUGUAGUGCUAAGAAGCACUUGAACAUUCGAACUUUUACGCGUGAGAACAAAAUGUUUAAGAAACUAAAGUUGGAGCGAUUUUUUCCGAAAAAUGAGUUUUUAGAAAAAAGACAUUUUAAUUCGUGUGCGGUUGUGACAAGUGCCGGGUCCCUCAGAAAUUCUAAUUUAGGAUCUUUCAUCGAUUCACACGAAGUAGUUCUACGGUUUAACAAUGCUCCAACAGGCGGAGAAUACUUGAAGGAUGUUGGAAGGAAAACUAGUAUCAGAGUUGUUAAUAGUCAAGUUGUGGCUAAACCACAGUUCAAGUUUCUCGAGUCAAAGAUCUACAGUAAAUCUGCUGUACUGGUGUGGGACCCUUCUGCGUACAACUCGAGUACCGAGGAUUGGUACAACAAGCCGGACUGGCCGUUCUUCGAGCAGUUUUUCUCCAAGAGGUUGAUGCAGCCGGAGGACUCAAUGUAUCUGCUAAAUCCGGAUUCUCUGUGGAGUAUGUGGAACUGGUUACAGUCCUUGACCCCUGUCCCUCUUCUACCCACCCCUCCCUCCUCGGGGUUCCUGGGUCUCCUUCUUCUCCUGGACCACUGUUCAGUCCUACAUGUUCUAGAAUAUAUACCCUCUAUGAGACUCACCAAAAGAUGUCACUACUAUGAUACCGAGGAGAACCUGGGCUGUACACUGGGGGACUGGCAUCCACUCUCUGCUGAGAAACUGCUCGCGCUUCGUCUUCACACAGGAUUCUAGACCACAGGAUAUCCAACAUAAAAGUUCUGACCCCUGGAUGUCAUAUUGGCCAAAUUGGUCUUGUAAACCCUGUAAAGUAGAUUUAUAUAAUUAAAACAGUUAGCGUGUAAUUUUACACAAAAGCAGAUUUCUGCAAAAUGAGAAAGAGUAAUGAAUUCAGCCUAAAACUUGCUGCUGUACCGUUUAAUCCUUUUAAAGAUGGGCAACCUUUAAAUCUGUUAAUAAAAAAAACUGCGGUUUUUAUAUUAAGAUGGUUAAAAUGUUGAUAAAAGACCCAAUCGUUCGUCACGAAUGAUACAUUUAGGCGUUUGAUUUUGCGUAGAUAUUAACAGCAAACGUGCAGAGAACAUCAUGUUAAAAGGAAUUGUAAGCCUUUUCUUCAAGUAACACUACAUACAAAUUGAUGACACUGCAUGAUUCACAACGGUACCCUUUGUCUGAUCAAAAAUGUGGAAGAUAUGGUCAUUUUUCUAGAUUUAAAUGUUUAAAAGGGGGAUGAUUCUUAAAUGUUUUCCUCCAGUAUAAAUGCUCAAGUUGAGAAACCACAACUCAAAACAAUUGUUUUUUUUAAACAUAAACAAUUAAACAUUUUUAUCUAUUUCAUACUUGAUCAAACAAAGUUUUUAAGGGUACCGUUGUGAAUCAGGCAUUGCCAUCUUUGCAUGCUUAGAAGUAUUACUCUUACAGCCCUUUUAACUUGCUUGAUUUGUGUGGUAAAAAAACUAGAAAAUUCUAAAGAACGGAUCUUGAAGGUCGACCGACCCUAGUACAGGGUUACCCAGAAAUUGUUUUUAUAUCUUACGAAUGCUUCAACUCCAUUUUUAAAAAUUAAAUCAAAUCUAUUUUAGUCUAAUAAGAUGUAUGCGAAUUCAAUGCCAAACAUUUAUGUUACCUUUUAUACUUGCCAAAUACUGUAUCUCGUUACCAAAUAAUUCAGUAGUACUUUGUUUAUGUUACCUUUCAUACUUGCCAAAUCUGUACCUCGUUACCAAAUAAUUCAGUACUAGUUUGUUUUAAUUUCACAUGUUUAUGUUUUAUUCAUUUUUAAAAAUGUUUUGUUAUAGUUUUCAUAGUUUCUUAUUAAAUGUGCCGAGCACCCCCCCCCCCCCUCUGAAAAACAGCAACUUUUAGUAAAGAUAUACCUUUCCUAACCUAGAAUAUUAUAAUCACAGGAGUUUAUCUUUUUCUUCAGAAGGAGAGGAGGGGAUCAAAAAACUCUUAGGAGUUUUAAUAAUUUAUUAUUUAUUGUUUUCCUUCCCUUACUUUACUUUGAUCUCAAUCUCGUGUAUUUCUUUUACAUUGUUACAAACAAUAUAGAACUGUUUUAUAACUACCUCAACACGUCAUUAUUUAGAGAUGUUAUAUUAUGAAGAAUCCCCUCCCCCCCCUCGACACUCCACCAAAAUAUAUAUAUUCAAUGAUUUCGGGGGAAAAAGAAGAAAAAUUAACAUGAACAUUAUAGUUUCAUUUUGCCAAAAUAAAGGAAUCCUGUAAAUCCCAAAUAAAGCUUAAAAAAUGUUCUAUAUAUA
rnacentral:misc_RNA from 1 species